CUGCCAUAUCACAUUGAAACACCUGUUCUCAUACGAUCACCAAAGGUAAAUGACAUCAAGUCUGGUCAGUACCUAGAUAGGUGACUGCUUAGGAAUACCAGGUGUUGUAAG